rnacentral:siRNA from 1 species
AAGUUAUCUAAAACCCUAAAAUGC